AAAAGCAACCAAACUCACAUUGAUACAAAGCGAAUGAGUCACUUGUAUUUUUGGUGUUACUGCUCUAUUUUAAAUCGAAUUCCCCCUAGUGUAAUAAAAAUACCAAGCUAUUGAUAUGAAGAGGGUGCGGUUAAUUCAAAUUAAUUGGGACUGACAAGAUUAUUCAUGGGAAUCCAAGUGAUACGGCAUGGUAAUUUGUCAAAGGCCAUCUGACAAAUGUAUCAUUUUCUUAGUCUCCGUGCCCUUUAAAUUGGGAUUUUUCUCAGCUGGGUUUAUUUUUCUGUCAUCUGUGAAGAGCGUGGUCUCAGUGAAGUUCUGAGGUUAUACCUCUAACUGCGUCCAAGGAACACUAGUCAACACGGCAGAGACGACUUGAAUGUGGCACUUUUUCUUCUUUUGAUAGUUAUCUGGUGAAAGAAACAAGCUAAACCUGGCUUCCGAAUUCCAAGAUCACAUUGUCCGGUGAGGCUUCUGAGAGACUUAAGAGGUGGUUUCUUAAACUGAAUAGCAGCUGGGAAAAAAAGAUGAGUCGAUGUCGGUUGUGGGUAUGGUAACCAUUUUGUU